CCAGGAGAAUCAGGAGUGAAACUGCUGACUGAAAGACUCAGUGAUCCAAACUGCACAUUGGAAAAACUCAGUGUGGACCAUAAUGAAGUCUUCAGAAUCACACCAGGACUACAAAAAUAUUUUUGUGAUCUCACACUGGAUCCAAACACAGCACACACUAGCCUCUUAAUGUCUGAAAACAGAACGGUGACACAUGUGAAAGACGAGCAAUCAUAUCCUGAUCAUCCAGAGAGGUUUGAGCACUAUGAGCAGGUUAUGUGUAAAGAAAGUCUGACUGGACGCUGUUACUGGGAGACUGAAUUCAAUGGCAAUGGUCAUGUAGCAGUUACAUACAAAAAAGUCAGUAGAAAAGAAGGGAUUGAUUGUCUGUUUGGUCUCAAUGAACAUUCCUGGUGUCUAUUCUGGGUUAACAGAGGUAAUGUUUGUACUGCCUGGCAUGAUAAUAAGAACACUGAUGUACCUGUCCCAUCUCUGUCUAAAAGAGUAGGAGUGUAUCUGGAUUGGCCAGCUGGCACUCUGUCCUUCUGCAGCAUCUCUAACACACUCACUACCACACACUUAUACACAUUCAACACCACAUUCACUGAACCACUGUAUGCUGGAUUCAGGCUUUAUCCUAGAGCCUCAGUAUCUCUGUGUCAAAUUGAAAAAUCUUAGGUAAGGAAUAACACAGAAAACAAUUCACUCUAGACAGUGGUAUAAUAGAUUUGGAUGUUUUUACUAAGACUUUUUGCCUUUAUUGUAGAGUGUAUAGUGGAGAAGUUACAGGAAAUAAAAGGGAAUGGAGAAAGGUUUUUCUCCAUUUCUGCUUAAAGUCAUGAAGGCAGAUUUGAAGUAUUUCAGAUUUUAUAAUGUGCAUCAUAAACCAAUUUUUAUGUCAUUUUUAUAGUUAUAAGUUUUAGAGUGAUGAAGGUAUUUUAUUUAAAAUUUUAGUUUUAACACUAGACUCAUGCAGACAAAUUCUAAAGAAAAAACAAAGCUAUAUCAACAUGUUCUUUAUGCAUGGAUUAUUGAUGUAGCAUUUUCACUAUGUCCGAAUUUCACUAUGUUCAACUACUCUUGGUUUCUAUUGCUCUCUUUGAGAAACUAUGUUGCACUUCCCAAGGGAAUGAAUGGGAGAGGCUGUGAAAAGUGUUUUUUGGUUAAUUUAUGUUAUUAAUGGAAUGGGAAUAAUACAAUAUUUUUUUAAUGCUUUGAACUCUUUUUUUACUAUAACAUUUACUAAGACCUGAAUCAAUACGUAUAAUUUUUUUUGUUUAAUCUCUGGGACUGAUGUGAGUGCGACAUGAGCAAGGCAUGUGCAGUAUGGUUGCAUUUCACAUUGCCUGCUUCGCUUCUUAUCUCUGUAAUGUUUUCAAAAUGUAAUGUUUUGUAAUGUGUUCAUGUUUCAAAAACAACAGCAGGCAGACACAUCUAAUUAUGUUACAUGUUUAUCAGAACACUUGGUCGUAAUUGGUUAAUGUUGUACAGCUUAUUCAUAAGCAGGCAUAGGUCCUGCAGUUUAAAGAUUCUCUUUUGUGUUUGCUUGCACAGACCUAUAAUUUAAAAUGUACUGUGGGGUAAUUUUUAAUGAUUUUAAUUUGCUUUUGGUUUUUUUUAAUCUAAUCACCUGAUUAUAUUAACUUUCUACCGCAUAUACAGCUGUUCAGUGUAAACUGUGUGGCAAAAAUAGGCUCAACUGUUCGCUCAGUGCCACAUCUGGAAUGCUUCUAGGAAUGUGCAAAAUUAAAUUUCCUGUAUAAUUUCCUUAAUAAAGCCAAAAAGCCUUUCCCAAGAUUUUUCAAGUUAUCAGACAGGAAAUUAUUUGUUUCUAUGGCAACUGUCAUAAGGCUAAAACAGCUUUGUUGUUGGUAAUCAUUAAAUUAAUCCACUUAUGUAAUACUCUUACAAAAUGUUUAAGAACAAAAAAUAUUGUUUGGAUAUGUUGUUUCUUUUUACAUGAUCAACAUCAAGCAAGGCACAGGCAGAACAC